GUGCUCGCUUGGCGGCACAUGUACCAACAUUGGAACAACACGGAGAUUAGCAUGGCCCCUGCGCAGGGGCGACGUGCAAAUUCGUGAAGCGUUCCAUGUUAAA